UACGAAGGGGGCUAGCGUUGCUCGGAAUCACUGGGCGUAAAGCGCACGUAGGCGGAUUGCUAAGUCAGGGGUGAAAUCCUGUAGCUCAACUCCAGAACUGCCUUUGAUACUGGCGAUCUUGAGUCCGGGAGAGGUGAGUGGAACUGCGAGUGUAGAGGUGAAAUUCGUAGAUAUUAGGAAGAACACCAGUGGCGAAGGCGGCUCACUGGUCCGGUACUGACGCUGAGGUGCGAAAGCGUGGGGAGCAAACAGG
rnacentral:rRNA from 1 species